GACGAACGCUGGCGGCGUGCUUAACACAUGCAAGUCGAACGGAGUGGCGAACGGGCGAGUAACACGUGGGUGAUCUGCUCCGCACUUCGGGAUAAGCCUGGGAAACUGGGUCUAAUACCGGAUAUUGUGGGAUGGGCCCGUGGCCUAUUAGCUUGUUGGUGGGGUAAUGGCAUACCACGGCGGCGACGGGUUGCCGGCCUGAGAGGGUGGACGGCGACAAUGGGACUGAGAGAGGGCGCAGAGGCGUACGGGAGGCAGCGGGAGGGGAUAUGGCGCAAUGGGCGGGAGCCUGAGGCAGGGACGCCGGGUGGGGGAUGACGGACGUCUGGUGGUAAACUCCUUGCACCAUCGACGCGGUAGAUGGAGAAGAAGCACCGGCUAACUACGUGCCAGCAGCCGCGGUAAUUC
rnacentral:rRNA from 1 species